rnacentral:rRNA from 1 species
ACGGGAGGCAGCAGUGGGGAAUAUUGGGCAAUGGGGGAAACCCUGACCCAGCAACGCCGCGUGAGGGAAGAAGGCUUUCGGGUUGUAAACCUCUUUUACCAGGGACGAAGAACGUGACGGUACCUGGAGAAAAAGCAACGACUAACUACGUGCCAGCAGCCGCGGUAAUACGUAGGUUGCAAGCGUUGUCCGGAUUUACUGGGUGUAAAGGGCGUGUAGGCGGAGCUGCAAGUCAGAUGUGAAAUCCCGGGGCUCAACCCCGGAACUGCAUUUGAAACUGUAGCCCUUGAGUAUCGGAGAGGCAAGCGGAAUUCCUAGUGUAGCGGUGAAAUGCGUAGAUAUUAGGAGGAACACCAGUGGCGAAGGCGGCUUGCUGGACGACAACUGACGCUGAGGCGCGAAAGCGUGGGGAGCAACCAGG